rnacentral:rRNA from 1 species
UACAGAGGUCUCAAGCGUUGUUCGGAUUCAUUGGGCGUAAAGGGCGCGUAGGCUGCGGGGCAAGUCGGGUGUGAAAUCUCAGAGCUCAACUCUGAAACUGCACUCGAUACUGCUUUGCUCGAGGACUGGAGAGGAGAUUGGAAUUCACGGUGUAGCAGUGAAAUGCGUAGAUAUCGUGAGGAAGAUCAGUGGCGAAGGCGGAUCUCUGGACAGUUCCUGACGCUGAGGCGCGAAGGCCAGGGGAGCAAACGGG